rnacentral:rRNA from 1 species
CCGGACAACUCACCGGAUACGACAGCGGAAUGAUAGCCGGGCUGAAGACUCUGCUUGACUAGCUGAGAGGAGGUGCAUGGCCGUCGUCAGUUCGUACUGUGAAGCAUCCUGUUAAGUCAGGCAACGAGCGAGACCACGCCAACAGUUGCCAGCAUGAUCUCCGGAUUGAUGGGGACACUGUUGGGACCGCCUCUGCUAAAGGGGAGGAAGGAAUGGGCAACGGUAGGUCAGCAUGCCCCGAAUUAUCCGGGCUACACGCGGGCUACAAUGGAUGGGACAAUGGGUUUCGACACCGAAAGGUGAAGGUAAUCUCCUAACCCCACCCGUAGUUCGGAUUGCGGGCUGCAACUCGCCCGCAUGAAGCUGGAAUCCGUAGUAAUCGCGUCUCACGAUGGCGCGGUGAAUAUGUCCCUGCUCCUU